CCUACGGGUGGCAGCAGUGGGGAAUAUUGGGCAAUGGGCGCAAGCCUGACCCAGCAACGCCGCGUGAAGGAAGAAGGCUUUCGGGUUGUAAACUUCUUUUCUCAGGGACGAAGCAAGUGACGGUACCUGAGGAAUAAGCCACGGCCAACUACGUGCCAGCAGCCGCGGUAAUACGGAGGGGGCAAGUGUUAUCCGGAUUUACUGGGUGUAAAGGGCGUGUAGGCGGGACUGCAAGUCAGAUGUGAAAACCACGGGCUCAACCGGUGGUCUGCAAUUGAAACUGUAGGUCGUGAGUACUGGAGAGGCAGACGGAAUUCCUAGUGUAGCGGUGAAAUGCGUAGAUAUUAGGAGGAACACCAGUGGCGAAGGCAGUCUACUAGACAGCAACUGACGCUGAGGCGCGAAAGCGUGGGGAGCAAACAGGAUUAGAUACCCGGGUAGUC
rnacentral:rRNA from 1 species